AGAGUUUGAUUCUGGCUCAGAACGUACGCUGGCGGCACGCCUAACACAUGCAAGUCGAACGAAGUAGCAAUACUUAGUGGCAGACGGGUGAGUAACAUGUAGGUAUCUGCCCUUUGGCCUGGAAUAACACGAGGAAACUUGUGCUAAUACCGGAUAAGUCUUUACGGAGAAAGCUUUAUGCACCAUUGGAUGAGCCUGCACUUGAUUAGUUUGUUGGUGGGGUAAUGGCCUACCAAGACUGUGAUCAAUAGCUGAUUUGAGAGGAUGAUCAGCCACAUUGGGACUGAGACACGGCCCAAACUCCUACGGGAGGCAGCAGUGGGGAAUCUUGCACAAUGGAGGAAACUCUGAUGCAGCGAUGCCGCGUGAGUGAAGAAGGCCCUUGGGUUGUAAAGCUCUUUCGUCGGGGAAGAAAAUGACUGUACCCGAAUAAGAAGGUCCGGCUAACUUCGUGCCAGCAGCCGCGGCAAUACGAAGGGACCUAGCGUAGUUCGGAAUUACUGGGCUUAAAGAGUUCGUAGGUGGUUGAAAAAGUUAGUGGUGAAAUCCCAGAGCUUAACUCUGGAACUGCCAUUAAAACUUUUCAGCUAGAGUAUGAUAGAGGAAAGCAGAAUUUCUAGUGUAGAGGUGAAAUUCGUAGAUAUUAGAAAGAAUACCAAUUGCGAAGGCAGCUUUCUGGAUCAUUACUGACACUGAGGAACGAAAGCAUGGGUAGCGAAGAGGAUUAGAUACCCUCGUAGUCCAUGCCGUAAACGAUGUGUGUUAGACGUUGGAAAUUUAUUUUCAGUGUCGCAGGGAAACCGAUAAACACACCGCCUGGGGAGUACGACCGCAAGGUUAAAACUCAAAUGAAUUGACGGGGACCCGCACAAGUAGUGGAGCAUGUGGUUUAAUUCGAAGAUACGCGCAGAACCUUACCAACACUUGACAUGUUCGUCGCGACUCUAAGAGAUUAGAGUUUUCGGUUCGGCCGGACGAAACACAGGUGCUGCAUGGCUGUCGUCAGCUCGUGUCGUGAGAUGUUGGGUUAAGUCCCGCAACGAGCGCAACCCUCACUUUUAGUUGCCAUCAUUAAGUUGGGCACUCUGAAAGAACUGCCAGUGAUAAGCUGGAGGAAGGUGGGGAUGACGUCAAGUCCUCAUGGCCCUUACGUGUUGGGCUACACACGUGCUACAAUGGUAUCUACAACAGGAAGCAAGACUGCGAAGUUAAGCAAAUCCCUAAAAGAUACCUCAGUUCGGAUUGCACUCUGCAACUCGAGUGCAUGAAGCUGGAAUUACUAGUAAUCGUGGAUCAGCGUGCCACGGUGAAUGCGUUCCCGGGUCUUGUACACACCGCCCGUCACACCAUGGGAGUUGGUUCUACCUUAAGGCAAGGUUUCAAACCCUUGACCACGGUAUAGUCAGCGACUGGGGUGAAGUCGUAACAAGGUA
rnacentral:rRNA from 1 species